rnacentral:lncRNA from 13 species
GACUUCUAUCAUGGCCUAGUAAAUAGAUAAAGAUAAGUCCAUUGCUCUGCACAACUGGAGAUAAGUACUUCCACAAAAUAACGCCAGUAUGAUGCUACUUAGAUCCCAUUUACAAUCCUGCAAUAAAACCAAUAAUGACACUUUGUACUUAUGUACUGCCUCACACUGAAAAUCUCAAAUGUUUUAUAGAUCAUAAAUUCUCCCAACACCCUUCAUGAGAAAUAUAAUUGCUCUUUCCAAUUAACAGGUAAACUGGAAACUAGCAUAGCGAAAGAACUUGCCCAAGGCCACUGAGGUAAGACAGCGUCCACUUGCUCUGGAGGCUCAAGCAGGACUGCUCCCCAAUAAAGUGGAAAUUUGCUCAAGAAUGCUUUAAAGCAAGAACAACUGACACAAGCCAGCAAGAGAUUCCUCGGGGGUAUUCCUUGUCAGUGCCUCAGAGUCCAAAACUACAUCAUGAACUAGCUACAAAGUUGAUGCGGAAGAGAAGGGUGCUAUGACGGUUUUGCUCUCAGAAAGACAUGAAGCUAUGACAACGGGGUACAGGUGCAGGGGCCCGCAGUCUCCGUCAAGAAGAGACUCGGGGAAGUAAGCGAGAAUUGUGUUCACGCUGUGACUUUGUUUGGAAUCAGAAGAGCGAAACGCAAGGAAGAAGUUCUGUUUUCCUCUGCCUUCUUGCUAGCCAGCAUACAGCC